GCUUCUUUCAUACGUUUCUUUCUCAUUCUCUCUCAUCUCUCAUCAUUCAAUUCCUUUAACCUCUCUCUCUCAAUCUUCAAUCUCCAUCUAAAUGAAACAAUUAAUUCAGUUUGGUGUAUUAGGGAAGUUUUGAAGACUCUCUCUCUCUCUCUCUCAAUCUUCAUUAGUUAGCCUUAUUUCGAAAACCCUAAAGGAAAAAUCAUCUGCCUCCAUAUCUCAAUCCAUCUUCAAUACCCAAUAGUCAACAAUCAACGGGUUUUCCCUGAUUUAAAGAUCUGUCGUUAUCGGUUAUUAGAUAUUUAGAUCCAAAUGGAUGCGAUUGAAGAACUGAAUCAGCUUGCGGACUCCAUGCGGCAAGUUGUGGCUCUGCUUAACGACGAAGAUGUUGAAGCUAUGAUGAAAUACUACCAGUGUUUAUAUUUGAAUAUUUUUUAUCUAUAUUGUGUAUCUUCAAGGUUCUCUUUGAUCCAAGUUAUUCUCAGUAGGUACUCCUAUGAAGAUUUAAUGAAUCUUGAAUUAGAGUUCUUGAAAACCUUAUGAACGAAGGGUUUUUUAGGGGGCGAAUGUUUGUAGUGGUGAUGUUACAAGUAGGCUGGAGUGAAUUAAGUAUUAUUGAAGUUGAAAGAUUGCUUCUCGGACUUUCGAGCAACUUUUGAAAAUUCGGCACACCGGAAAUUUCAGUUGGGGAUGGAUUAUUAGACCUCUAAUAGUGAUUACAGAUACUCAACAUCACUUGGUGACAGUCUGCAGAUUUAGUAGACAACCGUUAGUCGCCUUCAGCAAUGGGUUGUUUAACGCCGAGGGAGGCUAGGAAGAUCUUGUAGUUUGGAGGCACUAUUCGGAGCUAUUAUUUUCUCAUAAUGUCCCAAAGAUAACAGUGUUAUACUCUUUGUAGUCAAAUGUAUAAAUGGUUAUGCUAAUUGAUAUGAUUUAUUGUUUGAUCAUGUUAGGAUUGGAUGUGAUUUAGUGUUGCCUUUUGGCACACUUUUCGUGGGACAGGAGGUGGCCCAUUUGGUGCAGCGACUAAGAUGUGGCCAUGGGAAGAUGGUUCUAAUCCCUUAGCCAUGGAUAAGCGAAGAAGUUUGGAAGAGUGUGAGCAACAUCUGUUGAGCAAUCUAUACAUAGUAUGUCUUUUUUUGAGUUGUCUUAGAGCCAUCGCCAGCCAAGCUUUAAAGAGUGUGUUGUCGGAACCAAUUCCCACACAACCAUGAUUGACGGGUUAGGAGUAGCUGGUUGGGGAGUUGGAGGAAUUGAAGCAGAGCCGAUGAGCAUGGUUUUACCUGGUGUAGUUGGGUUCAAGUUGUUGUCUGGAAACUUGCAAAAUGGUGUUACAGCCACUGAUUUGGUGUUAACCGUGACUCAGAUGCUAAGAAAGCAUGGUGUUGUUGGCAAAUUCAUUGAGUUCUAUGGUGAGGGCAUGAGCGGACUGUCAUGGCCAUGAGCUGUAUGCACCUGAUUGACCGACUCCUCUUUUACUUAAAAUAAGUUUAUAUGGCAUCUCUAAGGUAAAUCACAAUCAAAUUGACCCAUUCAUUAGUACUAACUUUCCGUAUCAAUUGUUUUGUAUUUACCCACAUUAAGCUAUGUUGAUGAAAGAGUAUUUGUGGAUAUCAUAUGCUUCUAUAAGGAACGGCCACAAGGGCUUUCAUCUUCUGGUUUGUAGGAUAGACUCAAAUAUGCCACUAAGGAUGCUGAGAAAUCAAAUUAGAAAGCAUUUGAGUAGUCAAUAAAACGGUGGAGGGCUGAAGAAGACAACAACGAUGCUUUAAGUAAGGUUAUAUAUAACUCAAACUUUGCGUUUAUGAAGUUGAAAAAGUAGAUACGACAAGAUUAUUUACGACUGUAUCGAAUGUCUAUUGAUGAGGAGGUGCUUUAAAAGUAAUAUUGGCAAUUGAGUUGUCAUAAUAUUUGAGUGGUGAACUUGUCCAUUGUUUGUUCACGCACAGUUAAUGGAGUCUCUAAAGCUCAUUGUGAAGCAAUGACAACGUGCUAUCAGUAUGCUCAACUUUACUGCAGUAAAGUGGAAUGCAAUUCGGAUCAUUUUUUUUCACUGGGACAAGAGUUUUCGGAUAAGUUGAACUACAAAUAUCUUUAUUAAAAUAAAUCGUUGAUAAGGAUGGUAAACUUGCGAAUAAAACAUCAAAUAUUGUAUACAAAGAAAUAUAUAGGGAUUUGAAAACUGUAAUUGUAAUAGUUAUCAUUUUUCAUUAUUACAUAUAAUAUGUAAUUAUUUAUUGUAAGAAGUAUUAAAGAUUAUUUGUUAUAUCAUUUGUCACAUAAGCUU